GGUCCCGUAGUUCAACGGAUAGAACGGAAGUUUCCUAAACUUUUGAUACGAGUUCGAUUCUCGUCGGGACUA
rnacentral:tRNA from 1 species